GACGAACCGUGCAAACGUUGUUCGGAAUCACUGGGCUUAAAGGGCGCGUAGGCGGGCUUCCAAGUCGGUGGUGAAAUCUUUCGGCCCAACCGGAAAAGUGCCGCCGAUACUGGGAGUCUCGAGGGAGGUAGGGGUCGAUGGAACUUUAGGUGGAGCAGUGAAAUGCGUAGAUAUCUAAAGGAACACCAGUGGCGAAGGCGGCUCACUGGACCGGUACUGACGCUGAUGCGCGAAAGCGUGGGGAGCGAACAGG
rnacentral:rRNA from 1 species